CAGGGUUAAUAAAGAGCUUUAUUUGGCUUGUACAUUCAUGACUUUCAUACAUUCUCAAUUAAUUUGCCAUUAAAGUGCCAGACAUUUCCUUAAUCAUGAUGACAUUUGUUAAAAGAAAUCGGAACUUUUCUCAGGACAUAGCAGUCAUGAAUGAACACUUUUCUUAUCAAACCCAGAAUGUAAGCCCCUCACGUUGACCUGGUGGGUUGGACAAUUUGCAAACAGAUUCAAAUCCCCUCUCACCUCGAGCACCAAACUAGGCUGGGACUAACACACCUGGGGAUUAAAAAGUCAUGCUACAGAGAUUGAGAAACAACCACCCACUGGCUGCCACCUCUUCAGGUCUAUGCCAGGGCUUCACGGGUCCAACCUUCAGAGCAAUUAAGACCUUGCUCCCUCUGCCACCUUUUAUCCCACCCUCCCUUACUCACAAAAGCCCCCAAAGUCAUUACAAUGAAAAAAGAGUGGGUUUCCAUUACCCAGGUACUGAAGAUGUUCAGUAAAAAUAAGGAAGAUAAACACAAAAGCUUGCUUAGUAAACACGAGCUCUCAGCGUUCAAUGCAAAAAAAAAAAGAAAGAAAGAAAAAGGAAAAAGAAAAGAAAACAGAAACCAAAAAAAAAAAAAAAAACUGAAAUCUUAAGGCAAUACUGUUGACUUUGCACGUGGGCCAGAUGAACUUAGAACUCUUUACCUAGCUGCAGAGUCCCAGGAGCCUACAGGCACUUGGUUUGUCGGCACUUGCCACUGGCAGGGGCAAGAUCUUUGCAUUAUUGCUUAGGCUAUUGGGGUGUUUCUCUUUGGAGUUUAUAUACAAACACACCCAAGGCUGAUGUUUUAUAUAUAUAUAUAUGUACAUGCAUGAAGGCCCACUACUCUUUCUUUGUGGAAACUGACAGUUCUACCUCAGGAAGCUGGAUACCAACCUUGGUCCCACUGUCGUUGCUAGAGGAGGAAGACAGUCGGGACUUCUUCGAGGCCAAGGACACGCCACUCCCCUGUAACUUGCCUGCCUCAUCAUCACUCCCAGUAACCUCAUAAUGACCUUUGCUCUUUGAUCCCAAGCCACCAAAGGUACCAAACUUCAGCUUUCCAUGCUUGCCUUUAGCGUCUCCACCUGCAAACUCCAAAGUCCCAGUUGGGGUGGAAGGCGCUGAGAACUCCCUCUCAUCACUGAAGGAGUUGGAGCGGUGUCGUGGCUUCUUACUUUUAAAUAGGGAGAAUUUGCCUUUGGGUGAAGAUGCUUCCGCUUCCACUUCUCCUUCCAGGGAGCCCAAGCUGGCCUUUGAGCUCUUCAGGUCCCCUUUGGACCCAGAAAUGGAUGCUUCAGGUGAGCCAGUGACACCACCUUUUCCUUUAGAUUUAGAAAAGAUAUGCUUGGGCAUUUUGAUUUUGGAUUUUUUCAGUUUUACUUCAGACUCUUCCCACUUGCCUUCUCCAGCACCAGCCUGCACAUUGGCCUCCACUUUAGGGAAGUUGACAUCCACUCCUACUUCUCUACCGAUGAGCUCGCGGCCAGAGAAGGUAAACUUAGGGAUCUUCAUCUUGGGGAAUGUUACUUUUCCAGAUUCACUUUCCAAGUGACCUUGAGGCCCAGACACACUCAGCCCGGGACCCUGGAGUCCGGUCUGGCCCCCUUUCACGUCUCCUUCUAUCUUUGGUCCUGAGAAAUGAAGGUUCCCAGCAAGUUUAGAUGUAUCCAAGUUUAGAGAAGAGGAGACUUGGGGUCCCUUCCACUCAACUCCAGAGCCUUUGACACUCAUAUGCCCUUCACCCAGGUUGAUAUCUGGGACACUGACACCCCCUGAAACAUCUACACCUCCUUUGACUUUGGGGCCCUUCAAGCUGACACCAAAAUCUGACUCAGGAGAUGCCACAUUAAAGGAAGGCCCCUUGACACCGAUAUCAGGAACAGCUCCAUGGAGACCUAGUCCUGAACCUUUCAGAUCUCCUUUAAUUUCGGGACCAGAAAUCUGCCCUGAUGAGAGUUUCACAUCACACCCAGAAGCCUUAAUUCCAGGCAUUUGGAGGUUUCCUUCUGGGCCUUGAAUGCUGAUGCCUGGAAGAGCUCCCCCAAUCGCUGGGCCUUUCAAUUCACCCGCAGCCCCGAGGCUCCCCUUCACUUUUGGUCCUUCCAAGUUAAAGUCCAUGCUUGGUGCUGAGAUCUGAGGCCCUUUCAGAUUCACAUCCAUCCCUGAUCCCUUUAGUUCUCCACAAACUUGUGGCCCCUUGAUGUUAAUGUCCAAGUCGGAUCCCGGAGUGGAGAUGCCAAACUGAGGCAGUUUCAUGUGGGGAAGUUUGACAGCACCUUCUGAAGCCUCCAAGCUAACAUCAGGAGUAGCCACAGACACUUUAGGACAUUUGAUGUCUCCAGACACAGCCAGAUCUCCCUGUAGACUUGGUCCCUUCAGUGUUACAUCUGGUGCCCCAACACUGAGUGCUGUUGUGGCAUCAAUCCCUGACAUUUUCACACCAUCUGCUCCUAUAUGUACUUUUCCACCAACACCUUUGAGGUCAAGACCUGGGGCGUGCAGCUUCAUGCUGGGACUGGAGGCACCCAGGUCUCCCUUCAAACUUGGUCCUUUCAAGUUCAUGUCAAGAUCAGGCCCAGACACUUUUGGCAUAGAGAGGUCCACCGAAGGCAAGUCUACUCCUGGGCCUUUUAGAGACAGAUGAGGCCCUUCAAGCUUCAUAUCUGAUGUGCUCAACCCUCCUUCAAGAGAGGGCAUCUGAGCGCCGAUCUCAGUGCUCCCACCUUCCAUUUUCACACCUGGGGCACUGAUCUUGGGCAAGGAAAACUUAGGGAACUUGAUUUUCCCUUCUGGACCUUGUAGAUCUAUGUUAGGUCCUUCCAGUCCCACACUGGGAACAUCACCUUUUAUCUUUGGUCCUUUCAAAUUAACAUUCACAUCGGGUAUGGAGACUUGAGGAGCAGAAACACUAAAAGAGGGUGCUUUGAUUUUAGCUUCAGGGCCUUCGAUGUUGAUGUCAGGUGUGUCCAAGUUUGCCUGCACCUUGGGACCUUUCAAGUUGCCCUCUAUCUUUGGCCCUGAGGCUUCCACGCCUGGCACCUUGAACUUGGGAGCCUUCAUAUGAAUAUCAGGAGCUUCCACAUUAAUCCCUGGUGAAGAAAUAUCCACAUCUGGUACCUUGAUUUCACCCUCCAGCUUGGGGCUAGGUAGGGGAGCCUCUGCUUUAAAUUUAGGUGACUUAAUGUCAAAUUCUACAUCUGGAAAGUACAUUUUUCCAAACAUAGUUUUCUUGACUUUGGGAGAUUUUACUUCAGCUUUGAGUGCAGCAUCAGGCCCUGCAACACUAACAUCUACAUCAGGAGCUUUGAGACUGGUAUCAAUCUCACCUCCAGGAAUAUUCAAAUCAAAUCCCUGUUUUUUGGCUUUAACUUUAGGACCACUCAUGUGAAUUUUAGGCAUUUUAAACUUGCUUUUCUUGCUCUUGCCACCAAUGUUUAUUUCAGGAGAAUCAACAUUCAGCUCUGCUUCAGGGACAGUCACAUCAACUGUGGGUGUCUUGAUGUCAGCUUUGGGGCUUUUUGCACCAAAUCCAAACUUGGGUUUCUUAAAUUUCGGAACUUUAACAUCCGGCCCCUCAAUAUUAAUAUCAGGGCUUUCCAUGUGGACAUCUAAGCUUGGAGUUUCUAAAUCAACUUUAGGCCCCUUGAGGUCUACCUCACCACCUCCUAACUUAGGCGCAGAAAUUCCAACUUUCGGUGUCUUAAGGUGCACAUUAGCAUCAGGCCCAGUUAUUUUAGGAACAGAUACCUCCAGCGAUGGCAUCUUCAAGUUAGGCCCACUAAGUUUAGCAUCAGGGCCUUCAAAAUCCAGACCUGGACCUUUCAUAUCUAUUUCAGGUCCUUUGAGAGUACCUUCAAUCUUAGGGACAGACCCAUCAAAGGCUCCUUUUACUUUGGGUCCUUUUAACUCCAGAUCAACAUCAGGCAUAGAGAUCUUGGGAGCCUUGAUGUUAAUCUCAGGCAUCCUGAAUUUGGGACCUUUUACUUUCAUAUCUGGACCCUCAACAUUAACAUCUGGAACAUCAAUGUCCACCUUGGGUCCUGAAACAUCAAGGUCAGCCUUGGGCAGAUUUACAUCCACUUCUGGGCCCUCUCCUUUGAAGCCAGGCAUGCUGAACUUGGGCAUUUUCACCUUGGGCAUCUUCAGGUGCCAGUCUGGGCCAUGAACAUCCACAUCUGGAACAUCAAUGUCCACUUUGGGGCCUUUGAUGUCAACUUCAGGAACUUUAAUCUCACCUUCCACUUUAGGCAGAGACACAUCCACAUCACCCUUCACUUUGGGGCCUUUCAGGUUUAAGUCAAUAUCAGGCAUGGAGAUCUUGGGAGCCUUGAUGUUCAUCUCAGGCAUCUUGAACUUGGGGCCCUUCAGUUUUGCAUCUGGCCCUUCAAUGUUCACAUCAGGAACAUCAAUGUCCACCUUGGGUCCUGAGACAUCAAUGUUAGCCUUAGGCAGGCUCACAUCCACUUCUGGGCCCUCUCCUUUGAAGCCAGGCAUGCUGAACUUGGGCAUUUUCACCUUGGGCAUCUUCAGGUGCCAGUCUGGGCCAUGAACUUAGGCAUUUUGACCUUGGGCAUCUUCAGGUGCCAGUCUGGGCCAUGAACUUCCACAUCUGGUGCCUCUACUUUAGGACCUUUGAUGUCAACAGCAGGAGCUUUUAUUUCUCCUCCCACUUUUGGAACUGAGACAUCACAAUCUGCUUUUACCUUAGGGCCUUUCAAAUUCAAGCUAACAUCUGGCAUGGAUAUCUUCUGAGGCUUUAUGUUCAUUUCUGGCAUCUUAAAUUUUGGACCUUUUAGUUUUGUAUCUGGACCUUCAAUAUUUACAUCUGGAACAUCGAUGUCUACCUUGGGUCCUGAAACAUCAAUGUUGGCCUUGGGGAUGUCUACUUCUGGACCUUCUCCUUUGAAGCCAGGCAUGCUGAACUUGGGCAUUUUCACCUUGGGCAUCUUAAGGUGCCAGUCUGGGCCAUGAACCUCAACAUCUGGAGCAUCAAUGCCAACUUUGGGUCCUUUAAUGUCCACAUCUGGCACUUUUACUCCACCUUCUACCUCAGGCAAUGAUGCAUCCACAUCUGCUUUUCCUUUGGGCCCCUUAAUAUUCAAGUCCACAUCAGGCAUGGAGAUCUUGGGGGCCUUGAAGUGCAUGUCAGGCAUCUUAAACUUGGGGCCCUUCAGCUUCCC
rnacentral:lncRNA from 1 species